rnacentral:tRNA from 1 species
GCCUUCGUGGUGUAGUGGUCUGCAUUCUCGACGCGUAACCGAGAGGUCCGUGGUUCGAUUCCCGGCAAAGGCG